rnacentral:rRNA from 1 species
GGACCCGCACAAGCAGUGGAGCAUGUGGUUUAAUUCGAAGAUACGCGCAGAACCUUACCAACGCUUGACAUGUUCGUCGCGACUCUAAGAGAUUAGAGUCUUCGGUUCGGCCGGACGAAACACAGGUGCUGCAUGGCUGUCGUCAGCUCGUGUCGUGAGAUGUUGGGUUAAGUCCCGCAACGAGCGCAACCCUCACUUUUAGUUGCCAUCAUUAAGUUGGGCACUCUGAAAAGAACUGCCAGUGAUAAGCUGGAGGAAGGUGGGGAUGACGUCAAGUCCUCAUGGCCCUUACGUGUUGGGCUACACACGUGCUACAAUGGUAUCUACAACAGGAAGCAAAAACGGCGACGUU